ensembl:lncRNA
ACUUAAAUCAAGCCUUUAACGUUAACAUGAGAUCCCAUUUACUGCAAAAUGCACUUAAAUUCUGUAUUUUCUGCUAUCUAUAUGUAUGUUAGUCAAUAGCCCCAUAGACAUUUAUACAUUGGGAUUCCACUGGAAAUUCUACUUUUCAAGAUCCAGCAACCACCAUUGCAAUUCUCUAAUACUUUUAUGCUGUUUUACUCAAAAAUAUAUGGUAUUUUGAAAGUAAAAUUGGUUGUUAAUGCCAUUUCUUGUUAACUUUGAAUGACUUGUCAUGAUUUGAGAUUGAUGAGAUUUGAAAACUUAGCACUUAGCAUAGUUACCCCCAGCAAUCCACUAUGCAUUAUGUUGUUGUAUGUAUUAUUAUCAUGGCAGUGUUUAAAGCCACUACUUUUUUAUGCCGCUAUUCACUCCUAAACUACAUGACGUUGUCUGUUGCUAUAAUGUACAUGGACUAUGUUUUAUGAACUGAUCUUAAGUAUUGUCAAAGCGUUCACCCAAUUCAAAACUUUUGCUUGAUGCAUUUCACUACACUUUUAAAUGAAUUUUAAAUAUAAUGGCAGUGUGCUGCAUAUUAUAUAAACACAAGAGCAUUAUUUGCAGUCAGAGUCAGUUUAUACCUACUGUAAUCCUGCUGGAAACAGCAUAAUCUCAAUUCAAAAUGUCUUUGCUUUUUAAUGGUACACUAAUGCAAAAGUAAAUAAAUGAAAAGGGAUUUGAACUGAUUGUAAACUCUUAUAAUUUUAAAGAAUUUGCCUUUGGUAUUUACAAGUCUCAGGUGGAGGAAAGCUUACUUAAACACUCCUGCUGAAUGUAUGUAUCAUAAAUGUUAUUGGCACUGAUUUCAAACACAAAAGCAAAACCAGUGUAAAAUGAAAAAUUGCAAACUGCCAGCAUUUAAAUAUUUUUCCAACUAUAUAACAGUGAGUUGUUCACUGUAAGAAUUUCUGUUUCUGUGAAUGUUAACCUUGUGAGAAUAUAUUUUUCUAAGUCUGUAUAUCCUUAAAUCAUAGGUAGCCAUUAAUUCAGCCCUGCAAAUUUUUAUGUUUGAUAUAAAA